rnacentral:tRNA from 1 species
GCCCAGCUGACAGUGCGAGACUUUGAAUCUCAGGGUUGUGGGUUUGAGCCCAUGUUGGGCA